CGUGCGGCUGCUUUACACAUGCAGUCGAACGAUGAACCUCCUUCGGGAGGGGAUUAGUGGCGAACGGGUGAGUAACACGUGGGCAAUCUGCCCUUCACUCUGGGACAAGCCCUGGAAACGGGGUCUAAUACCGGAUACGAGCCUGAGAGGCAUCUCUCGGGUUGGAACGCUCCGUUGGUGAAGGAUGAGCCCGCGGCCUAUCAGCUUGUUGGUGAGGUAAUGGCUCACCAAGGCGACGACGGGUAGCCGGCCUGAGAGGGCGACCGGCCACACUGGGACUGAGACACGGCCCAGACUAAUACGGGAGGCAGCAGUGGGGAAUAUUGCACAAUGGGCGAAAGCCUGAUGCAGCGACGCCGCGUGAGGGAUGACGGCCUUCGGGUUGUAAACCUCUUUCAGCAGGGAAGAAGCGAGAGUGACGGUACCUGCAGAAGAAGCGCCGGCUAACUACGUGCCAGCAGCCGCGGUAAUACGUAGGGCGCAAGCGUUGUCCGGAAUUAUUGGGCGUAAAGAGCUCGUAGGCGGCUUGUCACGUCGAUUGUGAAAGCCCGAGGCUUAACCUCGGGUCUGCAGUCGAUACGGGCUAGCUAGAGUGUGGUAGGGGAGAUCGGAAUUCCUGGUGUAGCGGUGAAAUGCGCAGAUAUCAGGAGGAACACCGGUGGCGAAGGCGGAUCUCUGGGCCAUAACCUGACGCUGAGGAGCGAAAGCGUGGGGAGCGAACAGGAUUAGAUACCCUGGUAGUCCACGCCGUAACGGUGGAACUAGGUGUGCGACAUUCCACGUCGUCGUGCGCAGCUACGCAUAGUCCCGGCUGGGAGUA
rnacentral:rRNA from 1 species